rnacentral:rRNA from 1 species
GAUGAACGCUGGCGGCGUGCCUAAUACAUGCAAGUCGAGCGAACGGACGAGAAGCUUGCUCCUCUGAUGUUAGCGGCGGACGGGUGAGUAACACGUGGAUAACCUACCUAUAAGACUGGGAUAACUUCGGGAAACCGUAGCUAAUACCGGAUAAUAUUUUGAACCGCAUGGUUCAAAAGUGAAAGACGGUCUUGCUGUCACUUAUAGAUGGAUCCGCGCUGCAUUAGCUAGUUGGUAAGGUAACGGCUUACCAAGGCAACGAUGCAUAGCCGACCUGAGAGGGUGAUCGGCCCAACUGGAACUGGGACACGGUCCAGACUCCUACGGGAGGCAGCAGUAGGGAAUCUUCCGCAAUGGGCGAAAGCCUGACGGAGCAACGCCGCGUGAGUGAUGAAGGUCUUCGGAUCGUAAAACUCUGUUAUUAGGGAAGAACAUAUGUGUAAGUAACUGUGCACAUCUUGACGGUACCUAAUCAGAAAGCCACGGCUAACUACGUG